UUCCUGCGUGGCUGCGACCAAGUGAGGGACAGGACCUCAGCUUGGCCCUGCCUGUGCCAUCUCCUGGUCCCGUGCCCCGGGGCCUCUGAACCCACAGCUGCCUAUGCGUCUCUGCACCAAAGCGUUCUGCGGGGAAGGAUGAGGAAAUUCACUGCCCUCCUCUUCCUGUUCCACUUCGCCUGCUUGGGCAUCACGUCGGUCGAUUGCCAGAAUGGGGGAACUUACGAUGAAACCUACAAGAAAUGCGUCUGCCGGAGUGAAUUCAACGGGCCGCUCUGCGAGUCUGCCAACGACAUUAUAGCCACCAACGUGAGUACACUCAUGGCUGAGGUCGACGUUCAAGUGAAGGUCACCAGCCAGAACUUCACGGAGGAGCUGAACAAUAAAUCCUCUGACGUUUAUAUUAAGUUCGAGUUCAAAUUCAAAGCGCAGAUGGAUGUGGUGUACAAGAGCGUGAUUGGGUACAAAGAGGUUGUCAUCCUGAACCUGACGUGAGUGUCUGCCCAGAAACUAAGCUGCCCCCACUGCCCCGCUCCCAGACUGCCCCGCUGUUCGCUGGGUGCAGAUGCUCAGAAGGAGGAAGGUGCCCAGGUUUGGCACCUCUGCAGCACGGCUCUGAAAUAACAA
rnacentral:lncRNA from 1 species